AGACUGGGAUAACUCCGGGAAACCGGGGCUAAUACCGGAUAACAUUUUGAACCGCAUGGUUCGAAAUUGAAAGGCGGCUUCGGCUGUCACUUAUGGAUGGACCCGCGUCGCAUUAGCUAGUUGGUGAGGUAACGGCUCACCAAGGCAACGAUGCGUAGCCGACCUGAGAGGGUGAUCGGCCACACUGGGACUGAGACACGGCCCAGACUCCUACGGGAGGCAGCAGUAGGGAAUCUUCCGCAAUGGACGAAAGUCUGACGGAGCAACGCCGCGUGAGUGAUGAAGGCUUUCGGGUCGUAAAACUCUGUUGUUAGGGAAGAACAAGUGCUAGUUGAAUAAGCUGGCACCUUGACGGUACCUAACCAGAAAGCCACGGCUAACUACGUGCCAGCAGCCGCGGUAAUACGUAGGUGGCAAGCGUUAUCCGGAAUUAUUGGGCGUAAAGCGCGCGCAGGUGGUUUCUUAAGUCUGAUGUGAAAGCCCACGGCUCAACCGUGGAGGGUCAUUGGAAACUGGGAGACUUGAGUGCAGAAGAGGAAAGUGGAAUUCCAUGUGUAGCNGUNNAAUGCGUAGAGAUAUGGAGGAACACCAGUGGCGAAGNCGACUUUCUGGUCUGUAACUGACACUGA
rnacentral:rRNA from 1 species